rnacentral:rRNA from 1 species
UACAGAGGGUGCGAGCGUUAAUCGGAAUUACUGGGCGUAAAGCGUGCGUAGACGGCUAUCUAAGUCUGUUGUGAAAGCCCCGGGCUCAACCUGGGAAUGGCAAUGGAUACUGGCAGGCUAGGGUGCGGUAGAGGGUAGUGGAAUUCCCGGUGUAGCGGUGAAAUGCGUAGAGAUCGGGAGGAACACCAGUGGCGAAGGCGGCUACCUGGACCAGCACUGACACUGAGGCACGAAAGCGUGGGGAGCAAACAGG